GUUUUAAUUUUAGAAGACAUGAUGUACAUGUCACAUAGACAGAAGAACCCAGUACAGAAUUUUGAGGUCUUAUGUUUGUGUGUAUAUAUUUCAGAUGCAUUUUCUAAAUACUUCAGCUUUUGAAUACCGCAGUAAAUAUCAACUGACGUAAAGUACUGUUAGGUAAUAAGCAAAGUAACCCAGAAUGAUUCCAUGACCAGGUUAAAGGGCACAGCCAGAAACAGAAGCCAGACGUUUCUCAUUAUGUCCUGCUCAAAUUAAUAACCUGGGUAAGUCUGCAUUUUUACCUUUCUGCAUCAUUGUCAUGACUCUUUAAAAGAAAGGCAGCAUUUAAAAAUAUUCGUUUCUCAUCUUUUACUUUGUCUGCCUUCUUAAUCCUUCAUUUUAGCAUGAUUUAAAGCCCUAAAGUGGGUCUUAGAGGGUUGCGUUUAUCAAGCAGCGUUUUUUUUGAGUUUCUGUUUGUCUAUUUUUUCCCGGCAGCUGUAUACUGAGAACCUAUACUGCCUCCUUCUGGAGAGUCUACCAACAUCAAAAUAUCUAUACAAAGCCCAACUCGGAAGAGGUCAUCAAAGAACGAGGUGAUUAAAACUAGCAAUUUUU
rnacentral:lncRNA from 1 species